rnacentral:rRNA from 1 species
AACAAACGCUGGCGGCGUGCCUAACACAUGCAAGUCGUACGAGAAAGUCGGCUUCGGCCGAUGAGUACAGUGGCGCACGGGUGAGUAGCGCGUGGGUAAUCUGCCCCCCGGUCAGGAAUAACCCGCCGAAAGGCGGGCUAAUACCCGAUAACACUGACGCUCCGCGGAGCGUCUUUCAAAGGAGGCCUCUGUUUACAAGCUUUCGCUUCAGGAUGAGUCCGCGUACCAUUAGCUUGUUGGUGGGGUAAUGGCCUACCAAGGCUGCGAUGGUUAGCUGGUCUGAGAGGAUGAUCAGCCACACUGGAACUGAGACACGGUCCAGACUCCUACGGGAGCAGCAGUGAGGAAUAUUGCGCAAUGGGGGCAACCCUGACGCAGCAACGCCGCGUGAAUGAGGAAGGUUUUCGGACCGUAAAGCUCUGUCGAGUGGGAAGAAGUGUAUCAUGGCUAAUAUCCGUGAUAUUUGACGGUACCGCUAGAGGAAGCACCGGCUAACC